ACCAUGGAAGAUGUUAUCUUUGGUUAGUUGGUUAAAGUGAUGCCUACCAGAGGAAAACAUAGUUUGCUCUAAAGGACAUUAUUAAGAUAACCCUAGGGUCUAGCAAGAGACCCAUGAAGCAUCUUGAAUUCAUGAGAUGGCUCACAUGGGUGGAUGCUUCUGGGGAUUCAGAGACCAAAACGGCCAGUACAUUUUCCCUGGACAUGGAAUCUCAUAACUGGUUGAAGCCUCUCAAAACAGAUUUUAAUAUCUAGACAGAAUUCUUCCAAAAAGAGUUGGUUUGAGCAUAUACAUAUAUUUCUGGAAGCAACCCUCUGUGUUUUUGAAGCCUCCAGAGGACAGUAUCCCUGUCACUAAAGUAAGGCAUCAGUCAUGUGGAGGAUGCUUAGAAAUCCUCCCCAUCUGCAGUGGGGAGGCAAAGACUCCCCGAGUCCAGGGCUCUCAGAGGUGAGAGCAGAAAGGAAUCAGGGCACCUGGCCCGUAUUUUUCCUGAGGGAUG